rnacentral:rRNA from 1 species
CGGACUUAAUCGAUUCUUUUAGAUUCGAAGCGGUUAGUGGCGGACUGGUGAGUAACGCGUGAGCAACCUGCCUAUCAGAGGGGAAUAACAGUGAGAAAUCAUUGCUAAUACCGCAUAUGCUCACACCAUCGCAUGAUGGAGUGAGGAAAGGAGCAAUCCGCUGAUAGAUGGGCUCGCGUCUGAUUAGCUAGUUGGUGGGGUAACGGCCUACCAAGGCGACGAUCAGUAGCCGGACUGAGAGGUUGAACGGCCACAUUGGGACUGAGAUACGGCCCAGACUCCUACGGGAGGCAGCAGUCGGGAAUAUUGCGCAAUGGAGGAAACUCUGACGCAGUGACGCCGCGUAUAGGAAGAAGGUUUUCGGAUUGUAAACUAUUGUCGUUAGGGAAGAAAAAAGACAGUACCUAAGGAGGAAGCCCCGGCUAACUAUGUGCCAGCAGCCGCGGUAAUACAUAGGGGGCAAGCGUUAUCCGGAAUUAUUGGGUGUAAAGGGUUCGUAGACGGGUGCUUAAGUUGGUUGUGAAGUCCCUCGGCUCAACUGAGGAACUGCAACCAAAACUGGGCGUCUUGAGUGUCGG